CGCCGGCGACCGGCGCACGGGUGAGUAACACGUAUGCGACCUGCCCCCCGCAGGGGGAUAACCGGGAGAAAUCCCGACUAAUACCCCGUGACGCCACCGGAGGGCAUCCUCCGGUGGCCAAAGGAGCGAUCCGGUGGCGGAUGGGCAUGCGGCGCAUUAGCUAGACGGCGGGGUGACGGCCCACCGUGGCGACGAUGCGUAGGGGUUCUGAGAGGAAGGCCCCCCACACUGGGACUGAGACACGGCCCAGACUCCUACGGAAGGCAGCAG
rnacentral:rRNA from 1 species